rnacentral:rRNA from 1 species
CUCCUACGGGAGGCAGCAGUGGGAAUUUUGGACAAUGGGGGCAACCCUGAUCCAGCAAUGCCGCGUGAGUGAAGAAGGCCUUCGGGUUGUAAAGCUCUUUUGUCCGGGAAGAAACGGUGUUCUCUAAUAAAGAGCGCUAAUGACGGUACCGGAAGAAUAAGCACCGGCUAACUACGUGCCAGCAGCCGCGGUAAUUC